rnacentral:tRNA from 4 species
GCCUGAAUGGUGGAAUGGUAGACACGAGGGACUUAAAAUCCCUUGGCCAUAACGGCUGUGUGGGUUCGAGUCCCACUUCAGGUACCC